rnacentral:rRNA from 1 species
AUUCCAGCUCCAAUAGCGUAUAUUAAAGUUGUUGCAGUUAAAAAGCUCGUAGUUGGAUUUCUGGUAGGAGCGACCGUGCCGAACUUGAUUGUUCGUGUAUUGUGUUGUCUUCAGCCAUCCUCGUGGAGAACUUUUCUAACAUUAACCUGUUGGGAUUGGGACCCGCGUCGUUUACUGUGAAAAAAUUAGAGUGUUUAAAGCAGGCAUUAGCUUGAAUACAUUAGCAUGGAAUAAUAAGAUAGGACUUUGGUACUAUUUUGUUGGUUUGCAUACCAAAUUAAUGAUCAACAGGAACAGUUUGAGGAUAUUCGUAUGAACAUGUCAGAGGUGAAAUUCUUGGAUUUUGAUCAGACGAACUACUGCGAAAGCAUUUAUCAAGGAUGUUUUCAUCA